AACAAGAUUAUAUUAAGCCGUUAAAUACGUCUAAAUACGACAUAAAUUAUCCAAUGCUGUUGAUAUUUGCUUUAAUCUGUUACAUCACAAUGUUUUCAAGAAUCAAAGACAACAUAUACAAACACAUUAAUUUUCCUUACAAUAAAGCAAAUAUUUCAUAAAAGCAAACGAUUGAAAAUUAAAAAAAGAUAUGCAUGUAUAUUUGACGUAGCUGAUGCCUUUACCUUACAGACAUAUAUAAGCAUGAAUGUGACAAUUUUGUUAUGUACAAGUGUUACUGAGAUAGUACAAGGUUCUGGCAGGUAAAAGGGUACAAAAACAUGCAGUUUUUUCCCACAUUUCUUUACUUCAGGUUGUAGAAAAAUUCUUGUUUAUUAAUCCAUGAGUAUUUAAUAAAUGAAAAUUAUGAUUCUGACACGUUUACAACUUGCAUUUAUUUCAGAUUGUAGCCGGCACUAUUUUCCACUUGGAAUUGCAUGUUCGUAGCGAAUUGUCGCGUACCGACUACGAAUUGUGCCAUGCUCAAGUGUUCCGUCCAUUAGCAGGAACACCAUUAAUGCUGAACGGUUUCCAGUGCAAAGAAACAUGUGACAAUUUCUAUUAAACAGAACCAUUCUGCAAAAAGAAAGAGACACAUUCUCAAAUAACCUAGUAAAAGCAUGUCACCAUGGUUUAAAUUAGAAAUUACAAGAUACCAAUAAAAAGUUUAUGAUUUGAAGAA